GGGGAAAUAGUAGUCAUCCAACUAAAUGCAUUUACUUACAUAAUUGAUUGUAAACCAGCAGGCUACUUGGCUGCUUGUUCCAUAACUGAGAUAUUCUUCCAUGUUUCUUCUAAUUUCCUGCAAAAAAAAAACAAAAAAAAAGUAAAAUGAAAAAAGCUGAUACAUUACUAUUCAUAUAAAGGCUCUCCAUGUACUCAAUCAACAGUAAUUCCUUAGGUAUCAGGAAACUAAUACUCACGAAGUUGAAGGAUCAAUAUGACCAAUUUUAGGUAAAUCAUUUCAGCAGUGUCUCUCUACAAAACCAAUUGAUCUAAAACGACAGUGGUUUAUAGGAUAAUUAGGACAAAUCAGCCUGAAAACUACGGUUUGUUACAUUUUGUUUCAUCAACCGAAGAG
rnacentral:lncRNA from 1 species